GAUGAACGCUGGCGGCGUGCCUAAUACAUGCAAGUCGAGCGAACAGAUGAGGAGCUUGCUCCUCUGACGUUAGCGGCGGACGGGUGAGUAACACGUGGAUAACCUACCUAUAAGACUGGGAUAACUUCGGGAAACCGGCGCUAAUACCGGAUAAUAUAUUGAACCGCAUGGUUCAAUAGUGAAAGACGGUUUUGCUGUCACUUAUAGAUGGAUCCGCGCCGCAUUAGCUAGUUGGUAAGGUAACGGCUUACCAAGGCAACGAUGCGUAGCCGACCUGAGAGGGUGAUAGGCCACACUGGAACUGAGACACGGUCCAGACGCCUACGGGAGGCAGCAGUAGGGAAUCUUCCGCAAUGGGCGAAAGCCUGACGGAGCAACGCCGCGUGAGUGAUGAAGGUCUUCGGAUCGUAAAACUCUGUUAUUAGGGAAGAACAAAUGUGUAAGUAACUAUGCACGUCUUGACGGUACCUAAUCAGAAAGCCACGGCUAACUACGUG
rnacentral:rRNA from 1 species